rnacentral:tRNA from 1 species
GGCUCCAUAGCUCAGUGGUCGAGCGCGUCUCUCAUAAGGACGAGGUCCCGAGUUCGAUCCUCGGUGGAGCCA